rnacentral:rRNA from 1 species
UUCGGAUUGAAGGCUGAAAUUCGCCUUCAUGAAGCUGGAAUUGCUAGUAAUGGCAGGUCAGCAUACUGCCGUGAAUACGUUCCCGGGCCUUGUACACACCGCCCGUCACACCAUGAGAGUUGGGAAUACCCGAAGCCUGUGAGCUAACUUAUAGAGGCAGCAGUCGAAGGUAGAAUCAAUGAUUGGGGUGAAGUCGUAACAAGGUAAC